CAUUGCCAGAAUAGAGCUGAACUGAAUUCCCAUCCCAGAGUUGCACCAAAAACCCAGUGUCCACACGAGCCAGGCUACUGUUCUUCCCAGAAUGUGGCCCUCUGGCUCAGGGCUUGAAUUUGUGUAAGAACCAAGGUUUUUAGGCAGCCACCUACUUUCUGAAGCCUAUGGGCAUCUGGUUCUAAGGGGAGCCUUGCUGCACUUCUUGUACCAGCCCAACACCCGUGCCACCACCCCUUGAAGAGAUGGGACCAUCCACACAGUGUCUGCCUCCUCCAGUCUCUCAACACCAGUGCAGAAGCCUGCUGCAGAGCAGAGCAACCCUACGUGGCCCAGCGAAAUAUCCUUUCCACACAAGCACCUUGAUGAGCAUGAUCCUGGCUUCAGCAACUGUGCAGUUGCUGCUGCACAGGAAAAAGUUCAUCAGCAGAGAAGACUCUCUGCUUGUGCCAGACCUUACUGAAGAAAAACAGACUCAGAACUUGGGUUCCAUUUUUUUUGUUGUAAAGAGGCUGGAUCUGCAUGCAGUGAGUCUCCAUGGGACACAUCCACCCCAUGGGGAAGCUGUGACUGGCACAUUGCCCUUUUUGUCUGUACAUUAAACAGUGCUGACUGCAAAUCAUAGAAUCAUAGGUUCACAGAAUGAAAAGGUUGAAAAGGACAUCAAAGAUCAUCUAGUUUGAAUCCCCCUGCCAUGGGCAGGG